UACAGAGGUGGCAAGCGUUGUUCGGAAUUACUGGGCGUAAAGGGCGCGUAGGCGGUCUUUUAAGUUCCGUGUGAAAUCCCUCGGCUCAACUGGGGAACGGCACGGGAAACUGGGAGGCUUGAGUUCGGGAGAGGGAAGCGGAAUUCCGGGUGUAGCGGUGAAAUGCGUAGAUAUCUGGAGGAAUACCGGUGGCGAAGGCGGCAUCCUGGACCAUUACUGACGCUGAGGCGCGAAAGCUAGGGGAGCAAACGGG
rnacentral:rRNA from 1 species